UGGGGAAUAUUGGACAAUGGGCGAAAGCCUGAUGGAGCAACGCCGCGUGAGUGAAGAAGGGUUUCGGCUCGUAAAGCUCUGUUGUUAAAGAAGAACACGUAUGAGAGUAACUGUUCAUACGUUGACGGUAUUUAACCAGAAAGUCACGGCUAACUACGUGUCAG
rnacentral:rRNA from 1 species